GCUGCUAGUACUUCCGCGACGCGUCAGAGGACUACUCGCUCAGUUAGCGUCCGGGUGUCAGAAGGAGAGGGUGUCACUUUUUUGUUAGCGAGCGCUUACACAAAGCUUCCAUCCGUCAUAAGUUUCGAGGGGGAAGCGUCUGUUGGGCCUUUCUCUCCAUCCUGAGGGAGGUGUCAGCAGCCUGCGAUGCUGUUGAGUUUGCAACAAAGGAUUUUUGCAAGAAAGGACUUUUCUAAAGAAAAGGAAGCCUAGACCGGGGGCAAUUUUCCUGGGGAAAGGGAAGGACAUGCUUUACUUAAUCUAAACUUAUUCAACCAUUUGAUUCUCACCUUGUAUGCUUUUGCCCUGUAGUUUAACCAUUCUCUCACAGAGCCUGUGUGCUUUUCACCCGCAGUUUUAAUUAUUUGUGCUUUUGUCCCAUAUUUCAACCAUUCACUGUCCAUAAAGACUAUGCCCUUUUGUACCACAGUUUAAUCAUUCACUUCUGGCCAGAUCCCCCAUAGCCAGGUGUGGUGCCAGUUGCAUUCCAAUUAUGUAAUGAUGGCCAGUCUGUGGCAGGUAUGUAUAUGUAUGUUACUUCAGUGUUACAAAACCUAAGAAGAUCUAAACAUGGUAGUUCUGGUCAGAGCCAAUCAAGGUCAAUUUAGGACUAGCCAGGCAUGGUGGUACAUGCCUGUAAUCCCAGUGCUUGGGAGGUUGAGGCAGGAGAAUUGUAGUGGGUUUGAGGCCACCUUGGACUACAGUGUGAGGCCCUGUCCCAAAUACAUCAUCAGUCCUCUAGUGGAACUUAGUGAAUUGCUGUUAACUAAAGAUGUGCUUUCUAGUAUUCUGUUAUUUGCACUUUCCAAGAAUUUAGCCAAGUGUUUUUUUAAAAGUUAAAUUUCAGCCAGGUGUAGUAACACACUCUAGGAAGCUGAGACAGGAGGAUUGAAAGAACACAGCCUGAGUAACUUAGUAACUUAGUGAGACCCUGUCUCAAAAAAGGUUUGGAGAUACAGCUCAAUGUGAAGACCUUGGGUUUAAUCCCCAAUACCAGAAAGUAAAAAAAAAAGAAAAAGUUCAUUUCCUUGGUCACGUUAGUCAAUUCUCAAUAGUUCAAUGGCCAUAUGUGACUAAUGGCUAUAUCAUUGAAAAGUACAGGUAAGAGAAUUUUGAUUAUACGUAAAACUUUCUAUUAGGCAGAGCAGCUGUGAAGAGAAAUUUGACCAUUUGAAAAAUGUAAAUGUGCAAUGUCUUGGACAUGUAUUCCUAGACAUGCUUGUUAACUUGUUCUUAAAGCCUUUAGUCACAUUCUUUCUAAAGGUAGCAGCACAUGGUUUGAACAAGGGGAAUUUCCAUUGCUGCUACGGGUAAUGUUUCAAGUUUAGAUUAAGAAUGACUUUACUGGAAGGGUAAUAUAUGCAUCUGAAGGAAUAAAGAAGUUUACAUUGUAGGUUCAUUUUUAUUUUAAUGAGACUUGAAAAGAUGGUAAACCACCAUUGUUAGAGCGCUAGAACAAAUCCAGGAAAAUAUCAGGAUUGGUUGAAGAUUUAUAACUGAAAACGUGGUUGGUGUGGAGCUCAGAAAAUUAUCAGAAAAUUACAGUAUUUGAUGGUGAUUAAAGGCUGAUUGGUUGAUACUUUCAUUUGCAAAGUUCUGGUGUUUAAGAAUUUCCUAUUUAAGGGAGACUCUGAAGUGAUGACCUAAUCCUAGGGUCUUUUUCACCUCUUGGCUGGUUAUGGGAACACCUGUUCUGAUCCUGACCUGUGUUUAAAUAGCCCUGAGGAGCACACAAGCCACGUAACUAUCUCAGUCAAACCCCUUUCCUCAUGUGCAAGAGAGGUGUUUGGCUAGUUGCUAUGGAUAUGUGCCACUGCUGCCUGAGCCCACUAUGUGGCUCAGGCUGACCUUGAACUCACAGCAGUCCUCUUGCUUCAGCCUCCCCAGUACUGGGAUAUAGGCAAGUGCCACCAUGCACAGCUCAGAUUCACUUUUAUAGCUAAUACUUUUCUUCAGACUUCUUUACCAUUAGCUUUUUCCUUAGCUCAUUAACAUGUUUGAGACUUCUCAAUUUCCUCUUUCAUUUCUUAGUCUAUUGACUUUUCUUUUUAACUACUGAAUAUCUUGAAACAAAUAGCUUAUAUUCUUUCUUGAUCUCCCCCCCAUAAUUAUACUAUGAAAUCCUAUCAAUUCUAGUCUUCCUCUUUUUCUAAAACAGAGUCUCACUAUGUAGCCCAGGCUGGCCUUGAACUUGAGAUCUUCCCACCUCAGCCUCCCCAGUGCUGGGAUUACAGGUAUGUACCACCAUAAUGCCUGGCCAGUUCUAGUCUAAACUGACCUUGGUUGAUCCUCCUAGGUUUUUUAACACUGAAGAUAACAGAUCAUGUAUACGUACCGCCCCCCGAAACUGGCCAUCAUUGCAUAUAAUUGAGGUGCAGUUGCAUAGGUGUGAUGUGCGGUUACUGUAUAACCUCUGGUCAUAUAGGAAGGUGGUGCUGAUAGUUACUGAGAUAGUUUGCCAAGAGAGUAGAUUCAGUGCUGUGCAACAGAAACAAGAGGCACAAUAAAAGUAAAAAGAUGGGC
ensembl:lncRNA